AUAAAAAAUUUCGUUCAGUAAAUUUCGAAAUAUCAAAACUUUUGGCUUUUCCAACAAAAUUUCCGUAAAUGCAUUGAUUUUAUAUAAAAAUACUUUCAAGACAUUAAACAAAGAGAGCAAAUAUGACUAUGUAAAAAUUACCACAUGUUGUUAUGGAUUCAACAGUGAAUAUUAUGAAUAAUUAGUAUAAUAAUAUAAUAUUGUUAAAAAAUAUAAAAAAAAUGCUAGUACCAAACCCUGGAUGUAUAAUUAACUUGGAUAUUUCUAAAAACCAAUUUGAAACGUUGUCUCGAGGAUUGCAUUCAAAAUUGAUUACUGAACUGAUUCAAUGAGUAACUCACAAUUAAGUUGGGCUAUAUCUCUUAGCUAUAUCUAAAAUUCAAUUCGUAAAGUUAUCACGAAGAUUGGUUUCAAAUUUGGACUUCUGGGCUAUAUAUAAUAAAUAACUCCAAAUUUACUACAAAAACUCUAAAGGUUCAAGUACGGGAUGUUUAACUAAUUCGAAUAUGUCUGGAAAUUAGUU